AGUAAAUUUGCCAAAUUUUUUCUGCUCUUGCUAGGCAAUUCCAGCUGAAAAUUAGAUACUUCGCGAUCCUCCGCCUGUUGACUUGGGAUUAAUCCUACUUUAGCAUAUCUGCAUACCAGCGAGUACAAAGCAAACGUCCCUCCGUCGCCAUUAUCGUUGGCACGCAAGACGAUUAAGACGUACUUGACGAGAGGGAUGAGAGUGAUGGUAUACAAAAUCAAAGCAAGUACUCCCAAGAUGUCAUCGUUGUGGCCGAUACCAUCGGUGAAGGUGCUCGAAUACACGUACAGCGGUGAUGUACCGAUAUCUCCAUACACUAUCCCAAUGCUUUGGAAUGCCAAGUGCAAGAUCACCGACCAACUGAAGGCCUUAGAGCCAUGGAUUUGAUGGCCAGGGAACUUGCGGGAUUCGAUUUCCAGAGAGUCAUUCCGGCGCAAUUUGUGCCAGGAGAGUUUCUUUCCACUGAGGGGCUUAGAAAAUUGAUCUGAGCUCUUUUCAAUAUCUAUGCUCUGAUCUAUAUUAUUUUCAGACAUUUUCUCUCCUAACUCUAGCUUUUCCUUCGGUUAGGAGAUGAAGUGAUCAAAGGGGAAAGUGUCUUAACUGCGUACGACUCAAUCUCCGGUGUUGAUUGGCUUCCAAUGUAUGAGGGCGUGGAGGCCUGGGACC
rnacentral:misc_RNA from 1 species